rnacentral:lncRNA from 1 species
UGUCUAUUUUAUUCACUACAGUGGAUAAUUCCAGAGCCCAAAACUCAAUAGUAAGUGGUUGAGUAAGUGAACGAAUGAGCAAGUGAGCACAUUAUCUAGAAACAAGCACAUCUUUCCUUGGAUACCAUGAUCCUCUCAGAAUACCAGAUGAUUAAAAUCUAUUGUUAGAAGACAGGAAAAUCCAGCCUUCUGUGUUUCCACGGAACAACUCUCUGCUUUGUCCAGUUGCUUGUUCCCUCCAUAGGGCCAAGAAAUACUGUCCCUUUCUCCAGUCCAUAUUCCUCUGCCACAGGCCCGGAUCUAGCUUCCUUGUUAUAAGAUGAUUUUCGAUAUUAAUUUUACAAUUACUGGUUGGUCACAGCUUUGAAGAUUCUACUUCUCCAAGUUAUUCCAGUUCUAGAAAAGAAUUCUCUAGCUUCAGCUCACCGCGAGGACCCCUUGAGAGGAGUCAGCCAUUUUACCCUCAAGAAGCAAGGGGGGAAUGAUCACUGGUAUAUCUCACAGCAGCAAAUAGAUGUCAUCGCCCAGGAGUAAUACACACCCUUCUCCUCAUGCCACUGGUCAGAGGUAAUCUCAUGGAAAUGUGCCAGGAAAAGAAGCCAACUUCAUAUUGAUAAACACUGCUUUCCUCAAAUAAUCUGACACCCAGCAACUGUUUUUCUCAGCAUCUUGCACUUUGGGAAAUGCGAUCUGUUUCCUUUUAUCUAAUGCCUGAAUCAGCAAAUGGAGAGAAGUAGGAAUGGAGAGAGAGAAUGGUCAUGCUUCAGAUUGGUACCACAAAGGUGUCUUGAGAGGAGAAAUUAAUGAUCUAUUUAAAAUGAAGCUGGGCUGGGGAAAGUCAAAAUGUCUACAUAUAUACUAUACUUAUUUCUCUCCGAGAAAUUUCUGUGUCUGAGACCCAAAACAUGGAACCAGAUGACCACAUGAGGAAGGACCCAGGCCACAUGUGUGAAGGACAAAUUGAAGGAAGCCAAGACUCAGCAUCUGGAGUUUGUCAGCCUGCUUACCAGGAGGAGGCAAGGGGCCUACAAGGGGGAUGCUGAUAUGCCAGGAAAAUCUGCAUUCGAACAAAGAGAGGUUUUGGAUGCUUUAUAGCAGCUUUAUAUGAUAGUAGACUAGUAACAGAACAAACAUUGGUACUGGACUUAAUAAGUGCAUGGAAAGAAAGGUCACCAUCAAAAAUGAUAAGGUUUUAUGCUCUUGAAAAGAAGCUAUUAUAACUAAUAUUUACUUACUAUUCUCCAAGUUCACUGAAGUCUUUACCCAAAUGUUAUCACAGUGGAAACACCCUCGCUGAAAUGCUACUCAACUCUCAUCUGCCUGUGUGUUCUUACUAUCUCUUAUUUUUCUUCAUUAUCCUCAGUAUAACUUUCUGAUGUAUACAUUUAAUAAUGGUCUAUCCUCUGUCUUCCUCACUAGAAUGUAAGCUGCGUGAGCCCAGUGAUGUCUGUGUUGUUUACUGUGGUCUCUAACAAUUUGGAUAUAUAAUAUGAGGUGAGUAAAUAUAUGUGAAUUGUGAAACAUUGAUGAAUGGACAGAUGAACU